rnacentral:lncRNA from 15 species
AUGUUGGCUGUAACAGUUGAAUGUGCAGAUACAGUAAACCAACUACAGCCUCCAGUCAAAUAUAGUGGAUUUAAAAGUACAACAAUUCCCUCUGAAGUACGGUGGAGGAAAAACAGAAAGGAACCUGAACACUGUACUUACCGUGUCUUCAUUCAGCUGGAGACGACACACACACACAUGCGGGCCGGUGGUGGCGGGUCCUUGACGAGAGGAAACCAUGAACUCUGGGAGGAGCAGGUUCCCACACCCAGAAGAAGGGACGCACAACGCUCUAACACAAACAGUCCGCCACUCAGGAAGGAAAGGGCUCUCUUUGGGCCUUUAUCAGAUCUGCGAGAUCCUCGGCCCCGUCCGUCACCCGCUGCUGUCCGAGAGGCGGAUGAGGAAUGGCAACAAACUGAUUGAUCCUCAGCUAGCAGCAGCGCAGCAGGAGCUUCCCUCAGCUGUCUCCCGGUUGUGUAACCAGCACCUCCUUGCUGACCUCAUGGAACAUCUCUGAGGACACAACAGAGACGAAAGGAUCACGUUCACUGCAUCACCUCCCUCCCCUCAGUGCCCUCUGGCCUUCAGCCCGAUUCAGACCGAACUAAAUAUUCCCCUUUGGCCCAGAAAAGGAGGGAAAAAAACUGUUUUGUUGUGUAACUCUUGUAAUCUUAGCUUUUCCUUCACUUAACGGUUCCAUGACAGAGGUCACUUUAGUUCACAUGUUUAGUAGCCUGCAGGUAAAAUUCAGCUAAAAGGUUUACUUAACUGGAUCUCCUCUCCAGUAGUUUCAAAUAUCUGGAAACUGAUUGAAGUUAAACUCUUAAAGUUCACAGGCAAACUUUUAGAAACUCAUACCCAGAAUCUGGUGGAAAAUAUUAGAUUAUUUGGUAUGGAAACUUACAUAUAGGUAUGUACAGUUCAUACUGCACAACGUUCAGUCUUGUAAUCAGGAGUCUUGAAGUUGUUAAAGUUGCAUACUACCGUUAGAAACUGAGUACAAUAAGCUGAUAAUUAGUCUGAUAAACCAGCAUCAUUAGAACCAUUAAUCAAACAGUUAACUUAACUUUUUUAGCAUAUUUGUACAUUUAUUUAUAGGUCAUAGGCUAGCUAUAGAAAAAAGGGAAUCAGCCCUAUUAUUCAGUAUUUCUGUCACAGCAGUUAUUUAUCAGACUUUUUAAUCAACAUUUACUGUCAUCCAGGGAAAAUUAUAGGACUUAAAAAUUAACAAUCACAGCUGUUUCCCUGUAAGGUCACAUCAAAUGGCCACCGUAGGGGGAACAUGGCUUGCUCCUCAUUUGUUCAUAGGAUGGUUUAUGGUUGGAGAGCAGAGGGGAGGUCACAAUGUGCCUGAUCACUGCAGGAGACUCGGCUUCACGCUGUGAAAAUGAACAAACAACCUGUUGGAGCUUCACGGCCGAGAUACGGAG